UACGUAGGGUGCAGGCGUUGUCCGGAUUUAUUGGGCGUAAAGAGCUCGUAGGCGGUUUGUUGCGUCGGCCGUGAAAACCUGCAGCUUAACUGUGGGCUUGCGGUCGAUACGGGCAGACUUGAGUUCGGUAGGGGAGACUGGAAUUCCUGGUGUAGCGGUGAAAUGCGCAGAUAUCAGGAAGAACACCGGUGGCGAAGGCGGCUCUCUGGGCCUUACCUGACGCUGAGGAGCGAAAGCGUGGGUAGCGAACAGG
rnacentral:rRNA from 1 species